UAUGGAGGGCGAGAGCGUUAUUCGGAAUUACUGGGCGUAAAGCGCACGUAGGGGGUUGGGUAAGUCGGAUGUGAAAGCCCUGGGCUUAACCUGGGAACUGCAUUCGAUACUGCCCGGCUAGAGUAUGGGAGAGGGAAGCGGAAUUUCCGGUGUAGCGGUGAAAUGCGUAGAUAUCGGAAGGAACAUCAAUGGCGAAGGCAGCUUCCUGGCCCGAUACUGACGCUCAGGUGCGAAAGCGUGGGGAUCAAACAGG
rnacentral:rRNA from 1 species